UACGAAGGGGGCUAGCGUUGUUCGGAAUCACUGGGCGUAAAGGGCGCGUAGGCGGCUUUGUAAGUCGGGGGUGAAAGCCUGUGGCUCAACCACAGAAUUGCCUUCGAUACUGCAUGGCUUGAGACCGGAAGAGGUAAGUGGAACUGCGAGUGUAGAGGUGAAAUUCGUAGAUAUUCGCAAGAACACCAGUGGCGAAGGCGACUUCCUGGCCUGUUCUUGACGCUGAGGCGCGAAAGCUAGGGGAGCAAACGGGG
rnacentral:rRNA from 1 species